GAAUGGCAGUGCCUAAUGGCCACUUUAAGAACAAGAGAUCAACCUAGGGACCAAAUUGCUGGAAUGGGAUAGUUUUGAUAGCUCGUCUGGCCAAAACUGUAGUCCAAAUACCAGUUUACGUGUGCCAAGUUCAGAGAGCUCAGUCAGUGAGGCUAUGACCAUUCCGAUCUAGGAUAAAUUGUAAGAUGACCUUGGCAACUGAUGUGGCCGAGCAGGCACAAAGACACAGAUUCAAUCUAUUUAUCUUACAAUGUAAAAAUUGUUGUC